UCAACAAACACGUGAGUUGUUUCGUUUUUUUAAAAACUUUUUUAAAUCAAACUUGGUUCAUUCGCAUUCGCAAUACUUAUAGUUAAAUUGAAGAAACCUCGAACUUAUAACAUUGCAACGAUAUGCAAGCUGAAUAACGACUUUCAAGCCUCCAAACACAAUUCCACCGAGAUACAGCUUCCUCGACCACAACAACCAUCAUCAAUAGUCUGAAAACAACGAUGCAUUGGAGGAUGAUAAAAACUUGGAUUAAUCUAGUAUUCAUAUCGCUUUCAGCCAUCUGCUUAAUAGCUCAACUUUACAAGUUUCUCCGCAGAUCUGCGUUUACUCAGAGUUUUAUAACCAAGACUUUAACUCUCUACUGCGUAAUUUUAUUAUCACUCUACAUUGUCGAAUACACACCAGCGAGUAAAAUCAUAUUCAUACAUCCUUCGCUCGUCGACAUAUACUUAAUAUUUACUACGGUUUUUUUCAAAUUCGUCAUCCUUCUAGAGAUAUGUUUGUAUUUUCGACACAUCGCUGAAAUGCAGCAACCACCUUCGGGCUCACAAAAUGAAAAGCUCGUCGUUUACUUCCUCUCAGCCGUUUGUACGCCUUUACUCUUAGUUUACGUAAUACUCCUAUCUGAAGGUGGUGGAAUGUCGUUUUUCUCGACCUCAUUCAGCAUCGUGGAAAUCAUUCGACUCGCGUACCUGGUACCAAUUUUUGGAGCAUUUUGGUUCAUAAGAUCGGCCAAAAUUGAUAAAGCGCAACUCUGGUCCGAUUAUUCUCUGCAUACACGUCUUUUAAUAGUGAUCGGCGCUUAUACAAGUUUGUUAGAAGUCGUAGAACUCGUUCAUCCGAUAAUGGAUCCGGGAUUUUACGAAGGAUUGGGCACGGUUCGCAUAAACCGUGCUGGAAAAAGUUUAGAAAUUAUAGGCACUGUUGUCGAAGGACUCCUGAUUGGGAUAUUUUUCACCUUCAAAGCCGAUACGUUUCGACCUGUUGCUGAUAGUGAGUCGAUUGCGAUGCUGUAAAAUAAGAGGCCUUAAGUGGAGAGUAAUUCAACAAGGUUAAAAAUUUCAGUUCUCGUUUUGUAAGAGGUGAAAGGAGGGGGGGGGGGAGAAAAUAGAUGGAAAUAAUAUUAGCCAUUUAUUUUGAAAUACCUAUUUAUUUAAUAAGUCUAUAAUUAAUUUUAUCUGCACAUUCUGAUUUUUUGUAAUUGUUGUUUAAAUAAAAUGAAAAUUGCCUACGUUGA